AUUGCUAAGAAGUACCUCUUAAUCAAGAGGUUUAAGAGCCCCUAGAGGCAAUGUUGUGCUCGAUAUUUGUUGGAUGAGGAAAAAACUUCGUCGUUUUGCUUCUUUCUCUUCCUCCUCUCUCUCUCUUUCGCGACGAGCUCUUCUCUCUUUCUCAACUCUCUUUGUAGCAACUCUUUCUUGUUGAAAAUCUGAGUAUUAUUAAGCCGUUUUAGCCAUUCACAUGUCAUGGCUUCUCCUCUCGCUCCCAGAUUCUUAGAAACCCUAACUCAAUUCUCUAAUUCUCGGUUUCUCUCUCCAUGUUCUGUUUUGAGGUUAAAAACGCAUCUUUACUGAGAAUUUGAGAAGUCAAAUUGCUCCUUUUCAAUCCAACAGAGAUAUUGCAGCAAAAAUCUUUCCAAGCAGAAGUUGUCUUCACGGAUUAUUCAGGUGAUGAUGAGUCUUUUUAGAAUGAGAAUGUCAAUCAAGUCAAUGGCAAUCCAAAUGCUUGCUAGAAUGUGUAAAGUUGAUUUGAAUGAUUAUUUUGAAUCUCUUUGCUUAUAGUCAUGAUUCCCUA